CCCCUAGAUGUUCUGGGCCGCACGCGCGCUACACUGGUCGAUGCAACGAGUUUCUUUCCUUGGCCGACAGGCCUGGGCAAUCUUUGAACAUCGAUCGUGAUCGGGAUAGAUUCUUGUAAUUUUUGAUCUUAAACGAGGAAUUCCUAGUAAACGCAAGUCAUCAGCUUGCAUUGAUUACGUCCCUGCCCUUUGUACACACCGCCCGUCGCACCUACCGAUUGAAUGGUCCGGUGAAAUCUCCGGACUGGCGUGAGUCGGAGCAAUCUGACAAACACCGGAAAGUUGAUUAAACCUUACCAUUCAGAGGAAGGUGAAGUCGUAACA
rnacentral:rRNA from 1 species